UACAGAGGGUGCAAGCGUUAAUCGGAAUUACUGGGCGUAAGGGGCGCGUAGGUGGUUAUGUAAGUUAGAUGUGAAAUCCCUGGGCUUAACCUAGGAACUGCAUCUAAAACUGCAUAGCUGGAGUAUGAUAGAGGGUAGUGGAAUUUCCGGUGUAGCGGUGAAAUGCGUAGAUAUCGGAAGGAACACCAGUGGCGAAGGCGGCUACCUGGAUUAAUACUGACACUGAGGCGCGAGAGCGUGGGGAGCAAACAG
rnacentral:rRNA from 1 species